UACGUAGGGUGCAAGCGUUAAUCGGAAUUACUGGGCGUAAAGCGUGCGCAGGCGGUUUUGUAAGACAGGUGUGAAAUCCCAGGGCUUAACCUUGGAACUGCAUUUGUGACUGCAUAGCUAGAGUACGGAAGAGGCGAGUGGAAUUCCUGGUGUAGCGGUGGAAUGCGCAGAUAUCAGGAGGAACACCAAUAGCGAAGGCAGCUCGCUGGGACGUUACUGACACUGAGGCGCGAAAGCGUGGGGAGCGAACAGG
rnacentral:rRNA from 1 species